GAGGGGUUGGUGAACUUGAAAUGAAAGCUUCUUUUGCUUGAAGAGGGCAUUUUGCUUAGGGCUGAAAUGAAUGCUUGAAUCUCUUGUAUUUUUUCCUCCUUUAAGUGCCUUUAUAUCUUCAAUAGAUGUUAGAAAGAAAUUUGGACAGGUUUAGAGCCAUUGAAGAGCUUUAAAUGAGCAUUAAAUGUGGUCAAAAAAGACUGAAAAUUAGCCAUUACGGAGAUUUUUCAUCAUAGGGGU
rnacentral:lncRNA from 1 species